rnacentral:rRNA from 1 species
GUCAUGGGCGCAGCCUGAUGCAGCCAUGCCGCGUGAGUGAUGAAGGCCUUCGGGUUGUAAAGCUCUUUCGGCAGGGACGAAAAUGAGAGCUCUAGCAUAGCAAGCUACUGACGGUUCCUGGACAACAAGCACCGGCUUACUACAUGCCAGCAGACGCGGUAAUAA